UUAAACAUAUAGCAUAGUGCAUAUAGACAACGUUGAUUAUU
rnacentral:misc_RNA from 1 species